rnacentral:rRNA from 1 species
GACAGAGGUGCCAAGCGUUAGGCGGAAUCACUGGGCUUAAAGCGUGUGUAGGUGGAUGCCUAAGUACCUUGUGAAAUCCCACGGCUCACCCGUGGAACUGCUGGGUAUACUGGGUGUCUUGAGCCACUUAGGGGUCGCUGGAACAAACGGUGGAGCGGUGUAAUGCGUAGAUAUCGUUUGGAACGCCAAUGGUGAAAACAGGCGACUGGGAGUGUGCUGACACUGAGACACGAAAGCCAGGGGAGCGAACGGG